rnacentral:rRNA from 1 species
GGGCGGUGUGUACAAGGGGCAGGGACGUAAUCAAUGCGAGUUAAUGACUCACACUUACUGGGAAUUCCAAGUUCAUGUGAACAGUUUCAGUUCACAAUCCCAAGCAUGAAAGUGGUUCAGCGGUUUACCCGGACCUCUCGGUCUAGGAAAUACACGUUGAUACUUUCAUUGUAGCGCGCGUGCAGCCCAGGACAUCUAAGGGCAUUACAGACCUGUUAUUGCUCAAUCUCAUUAUUGCUAGACGCAAUUUGUCCAUUUAAGAAGCUAGUGUCCUUAUAAUGGGACAAACCAACAGGUACGGCUCCACUUGAAUAAACACAUUCAAACACUUAUACAUUUUACUGCAGUCAUGAAUGAAGGCUACACAAGCUUCAGCACCAUAAUCCUGAAAGCAUCUAUUUAAUAUAUUUGAGUCUCGUUCGUUAUCGGAAUUAACCAGACAAAUCACUCCACGAACUAAGAACGGCCAUGCACCACCACCCAUAGAUUCGAGAAAGAGCUAUCAAUCUGUCUUACACACUUAUGUUCGGACCUGGUAAGUUUUCCCGUGUUGAGUCAAAUUAAGCCGCAGGCUCCACUCCUGGUGGUGCCCUUCCGUCAAUUCCUUUAAGUUUCAGCUUUGCAACCAUACUUCCCCCGGAGCCCAAAAGCUUUGGUUUCCCGGGAAGCGACUGAGAGAGCCAUGAAAGUAGCUACACCCAAUUGCUAGCUGGCAUCGUUUAUGGUUAGAACUAGGGCGGUAUCUGAUCGCCUUCGAACCUCUAACUUUCGUUCUUGAUUAAUGAAAACAUCUUUGGCAAAUGCUUUCGCUUAAGUUAGUCUUACGACGGUCCAAGAAUUUCACCUCUCGCGUCGUAUUACUAAUGCCCCCAAACUGCUUCUAUUAAUCAUUACCUCUUGAUCUAAAAACCAAUGAAAGUAGAACAGAGGUCUUAUUUCAUUAUUCCAUGCACAAAAUAUUCAGGCAUUUGGAGCCUGCUUUAAGCACUCUAAUUUGUUCAAAGUAAUU